rnacentral:rRNA from 1 species
CUUUGACCUCGGAUCAGGUAGGGAUACCCGCUGAACUUAAG